GGCCCUAUACAUGCAAGUCGAGCGGACAGAUGGGAGCUUGCUCCCUGAUGUUAGCGGCGGACGGGUGAGUAACACGAGGGUAACCUGCCUGUAAGACUGGGAUAACUCCGGGAAACCGGGGCUAAUACCGGAUGCUUGUUUGAACCGCAUGGUUCAAACAUAAAAGGUGGCUUCGGCUACCACUUACAGAUGGACCCGCGGCGCAUUAGCUAGUUGGUGAGGUAACGGCUCACCAAGGCAACGAUGCGUAGCCGACCUGAGAGGGUGAUCGGCCACACUGGGACUGAGACACGGCCCAGACUCCUACGGGAGGCAGCAGUAGGGAAUCUUCCGCAAUGGACGAAAGUCUGACGGAGCAACGCCGCGUGAGUGAUGAAGGUUUUCGGAUCGUAAAGCUCUGUUGUUAGGGAAGAACAAGUACCGUUCGAAUAGGGCGGUACCUUGACGGUACCUAACCAGAAAGCCACGGCUAACUACGUGCCAGCAGCCGCGGUAAUACGUAGGUGGCAAGCGUUGUCCGGAAUUAUUGGGCGUAAAGGGCUCGCAGGCGGUUUCUUAAGUCUGAUGUGAAAGCCCCCGGCUCAACCGGGGAGGGUCAUUGGAAACUGGGGAACUUGAGUGCAGAAGAGGAGAGUGGAAUUCCACGUGUAGCGGUGAAAUGCGUAGAGAUGUGGAGGAACACCAGUGGCGAAGGCGACUCUCUGGUCUGUAACUGACGCUGAGGAGCGAAAGCGUGGGGAGCGAACAGGAUUAGAUACCCUGGUAGUCCACG
rnacentral:rRNA from 1 species